GACUGCCUUGCCUAAUGGAUAAGGUGUCUGGUUUUGGAACAGAAAUUUGAGAGUUCGAGUCCCUCUGUAGUUG
rnacentral:tRNA from 1 species